rnacentral:lncRNA from 1 species
AUGUGGAAACAGUAUAAUGUAAUGUGGAGACAGUAUAAUGUAAUGUGGAGACAGUAUAAUGUAAUGUGGAGACAGUAUAAUGUAAUGUGGAGACAGUAUAAUGUAAUGUGGAGACAGUAUAAUGUAACGUGGAGACAGUAUAAUGUAAUGUGGAGACAGUAUAAUGUAACGUGGAGACAGUAUAAUGUAACGUGGAGACAGUAUAAUGUAAUGUGGAGACAGUAUAAUGUAAUGUGGAGACAGUAUAAUGUAAUGUGGAGACAGUAUAAUGUAAUGUGGAAACAGUAUAAUGUAAUGUGGAGACAGUAUAAUGUAAUGUGGAGACAGUAUAAUGUAAUGUGGAGACAGUAUAAUGUAAUGUGGAGACAGUAUAAUGUAAUGUGGAAACAGUAUAAUGUAAUGUGGAGACAGUAUAAUGUAACGUGGAGACAGUAUAAUGUAAUGUGGAGACAGUAUAAUGUAACGUGGAGACAGUAUGAUGUAAUGUGGAGACAGUAUAAUGUAAUGUGGAGACAGUAUAAUGUAAUGUGGAAACAGUAUAAUGUAAUGUGGAGACAGUAUAAUGUAAUGUGGAAACAGUAUAAUGUAAUGUGGAGACAGUAUAAUGUAAUGUGGAGACAGUAUAAUGUAAUGUGGAGACAGUAUAAUGUAAUGUGGAGACAGUAUAAUGUAAUGUGGAAACAGUAUAAUGUAAUGUGGAGACAGUAUAAUGUAACGUGGAGACAGUAUAAUGUAAUGUGGAGACAGUAUAAUGUAACGUGGAGACAGUAUGAUGUAACGUGGAGACAGUAUAAUGUAAUGUGGAGACAGUAUAAUGUAAUGUGGAGACAGUAUAAUGUAAUGUGGAGACAGUAUAAUGUAAUGUGGAAACAGUAUAAUGUAAUGUGGAGACAGUAUAAUGUAAUGUGGAGACAGUAUAAUGUAAUGUGGAGACAGUAUAAUGUAAUGUGGAGACAGUAUAAUGUAAUGUGGAGACAGUAUAAUGUAAUGUGGAGACAGUAUAAUUGUUUGAAACCUGAACGUGUUACUUUACUUCAAAUAAUGAGGUGUGUAUUACCUUGCGUCUACGUAGCCUUGCCAAAAAUCCAUCCGUAG